AGAGUUUGAUCAUGGCUCAGGAUGAACGCUGGCGGCGUGCUUAACACAUGCAAGUCGAACGGGCUCAUAUUGAAACCUAGUGAUGUAUGAGUUAGUGGCGGACGGGUGAGUAACGCGUGGAGAACCUGCCGUAUACUGGGGGAUAACACUUAGAAAUAGGUGCUAAUACCGCAUAAGCGCACAGCUUCGCAUGAAGCAGUGUGAAAAACUCCGGUGGUAUACGAUGGAUCCGCGUCUGAUUAGCUGGUUGGCGGGGUAACAGCCCACCAAGGCGACGAUCAGUAGCCGGCCUGAGAGGGUGAACGGCCACAUUGGGACUGAGACACGGCCCAAACUCCUACGGGAGGCAGCAGUGGGGAAUAUUGCACAAUGGGGGAAACCCUGAUGCAGCGACGCCGCGUGAGUGAAGAAGUAUUUCGGUAUGUAAAGCUCUAUCAGCAGGGAAGAAAAUGACGGUACCUGACUAAGAAGCCCCGGCUAACUACGUGCCAGCAGCCGCGGUAAUACGUAGGGGGCAAGCGUUAUCCGGAUUUACUGGGUGUAAAGGGAGCGUAGACGGCAGCGCAAGUCUGAAGUGAAAUCCCAUGGCUUAACCAUGGAACUGCUUUGGAAACUGUGCAGCUGGAGUGCAGGAGAGGUAAGCGGAAUUCCUAGUGUAGCGGUGAAAUG
rnacentral:rRNA from 1 species